rnacentral:rRNA from 1 species
GGGUGUAGAAUAAGUGGGAGCUUCGGCNACUUUGAAAUACCACUACCUUUAUCGUUUUUUUACUUAUUCAAUGAGGCGGAGCUGGGAUUAAUAGUCCCACCUUUUGGCUUCAAGGUCUUUUACAGGCCGAUCCGGGUUGA